GUUGAACGGACUCAUAUUGAAACCUAGUGAUGUAUGAGUUAGUGGCGGACGGGUGAGUAACGCGUGGAGAACCUGCCGUAUACUGGGGGAUAACACUUAGAAAUAGGUGCUAAUACCGCAUAAGCGCACAGCUUCGCAUGAAGCAGUGUGAAAAACUCCGGUGGUAUACGAUGGAUCCGCGUCUGAUUAGCUAGUUGGUGGGGUAAAGGCCCACCAAGGCGACGAUCAGUAGCCGGCCUGAGAGGGUGAACGGCCACAUUGGGACUGAGACACGGCCCAAACUCCUACGGGAGGCAGCAGUGGGGAAUAUUGCACAAUGGGGGAAACCCUGAUGCAGCGACGCCGCGUGAGUGAAGAAGUAUUUCGGUACGUAAAGCUCUAUCAGCAGGGAAGAAAAUGACGGUACCUGACUAAGAAGCCCCGGCUAACUACGUGCCAGCAGCCGCGGUAAUACGUAGGGGGCAAGCGUUAUCCGGAUUUACUGGGUGUAAAGGGAGCGUAGACGGCAGCGCAAGUCUGGAGUGAAAUCCCAUGGCUUAACCAUGGAACUGCUUUGGAAACUGUGCAGCUGGAGUGCAGGAGAGGUAAGCGGAAUUCCUAGUGUAGCGGUGAAAUGCGUAGAUAUUAGGAGGAACACCAGUGGCGAAGGCGGCUUACUGGACUGUAACUGACGUUGAGGCUCGAAAGCGUGGGGAGCAAACAGGAUUAGAUACCCUGGUAGUCCACGCUGUAAACGAUGAUUACU
rnacentral:rRNA from 1 species